rnacentral:tRNA from 1 species
CAAAACGUAGCUUAACUUAAAGCAUCUCGCUUACACCGAGAAAAUGCCCGUGAAAUCCGAGCCAUUUUGA